rnacentral:rRNA from 1 species
CCCUUAGAUGUUCUGGGCCGCAUGCGCGCUACACUGAUGCAUUCAACGAGUCUAAAACCUGGUCUGAUAGGGCUGGGUAAUCUUUUGAAUGUGCAUCGUGAUUGGGAUAGAUGAUUGCAAUUCUUCAUCUUCAACGAGGAAUGCCUAGUAAACGCAAGUCAUCAGCUUGCAUUGAUUACGUCCCUGCCCUUUGUACACACCGCCCGUCGCUCCUACCGAUUGAAUGUUCCGAUGAAUACCAUGGACUGAGAGUAUGAAUGGGUUCGCCUAUUUCUGCUUCUCGGGAAGUGGAGUAAAUCUUAACAUUUAGAGGAAGGAGAAGUCGUAACA